GAUGAACGCUGGCGGCGUGCCUAAUACAUGCAAGUCGAGCGAACAGACGAGGAGCUUGCUCCUCUGACGUUAGCGGCGGACGGGUGAGUAACACGUGGAUAACCUACCUAUAAGACUGGGAUAACUUCGGGAAACCGGAGCUAAUACCGGAUAAUAUAUUGAACCGCAUGGUUCAAUAGUGAAAGACGGUUUUGCUGUCACUUAUAGAUGGAUCCGCGCCGAAUUAGCUAGUUGGUAAGGUAACGGCUUACCAAGGCAACGAUGCGUAGCCGACCUGAGAGGGUGAUCGGACACACUGGAACUGAGAAACGGUACAGACUCCUACGGGAGGAAGCAGUAGGGAAUCUUCCGCAAUGGGCGAAAGCUUGACGGAGCAACGCCGCGUGAGUGCUGAAGGUCUUCGGAUCGUAAAACUCUGUUAUUAGGGAAGAACAAAUGUGUAAGUAACUAUGCACGUCUUGACGGUACCUAAUCAGAAAGCCACGGCUAACUACGUG
rnacentral:rRNA from 1 species